GAUGAAGAACGUAGCGAAAUGCGAUAAGUAGUGUGAAUUGCAGAAUUCAGUGAAUCAUCGAAUCUUUGAACGCACAUUGCGCCUCCUGGCAUUCCGGGAGGCAUGCCUGUUCGAGCGUCAUCAAACCCCAUCGUGCAAAUGAAUUAUUUUUUUUUGCGCGGAAGUGACGAUUGAGCGAGAAUAACAAAUCCUCUCGCACCUCGUCGAAAUGAUUGCGGGCGGAAUUUGGGAUCGGGUUCCUCGGCGUAGUGUAUCAAUGCAUAUUUAUGCAACUUGCCGCGGAGUUGAGCCUGACCCACGCGUUCUCGCCGUACAAACACCUCAUUACUUUACAAGUUUUUGACCUCGGAUCAGGUAGGGAUACCCGCUGAACUUAAGCAUAUCAAUAAGCGGAGGA
rnacentral:misc_RNA from 1 species